CGCAGCCGCGGUAAUUCCAGCUCCAAUAGCGUAUAUUAAAGUUGCUGCAGUUAAAAAGCUCGUAGUUGAAUUUCGGGACUAAUAUGUCGGUCGUGCCUCGGGUACGCACUGGUUUUAUUGGUUUCUCCCUUCUGACGAACCAUGAUGUCAUUAAUUUGGUGUUAUGGGGAGUUAGGACUGUUACUUUGAAAAAAUUUAGAGUGUUUAAAGCAGGCAUUAGCUUGAAUACAUUAGCAUGGAAUAAUGAAAUAGGACGUUUGAUCCUAUUUUGUUGGUUUCUAGGAUCGACGUAAUGAUUAAUAGGGAUAGUUGGGGGCAUUAGUAUUCAAUUGUCAGAGGUGAAAUUCUUGGAUUUAUUGAAGACUAACUACUGCGAAAGCAUUUGCCAAGGAUGUUUUCAUUAAUCAAGAACGAAAGUUAGGGGAUCGAAGACGAUCAGAUACCGUCGUAGUCUUAACCAUAAACUAUGCCGACUAGGGAUCGGAUGAUGUUAAUUUUUUAAUGACUCAUUCGGCGCCUU
rnacentral:rRNA from 1 species